rnacentral:lncRNA from 1 species
UGGACUUUGGUAGGGUGAAUAAAAAAAUAAGAUGGCGCAUGCUCAUCAUCCCUUUGGAUUUGAUAAAUAUAUUAAUUAAGUAAAGACGACGCGCAAUGUGUUGACUUGUGAAUCACUUAAGGAGAGCGAUGGGCGACACGCUUUCACAUCAUCAGGGAGUAUCAAAAGAGGUCCUAUGUCGAAUCAUUUCGCUUUGGCAUUUCAUUAUCACUGGCAUAUUUUGGGUUCACAAUAUUCACAAACUUGUCAUUCUCAGUCUCUAUGUGUGAGGGAUGCUGGGUAAAGAUUAAUAUCUUUUAAUUGAAGAAGAAGGACAAAUUUAUACGCAAGAAAUUCCUCUUAUCACAUUCUUCAAGCAUGUUAUUGAGCAGCAAUUCCCAUCGAAAAUACUGGUUGAAAAACAAACGUAUACUGAGGAACAAAGGGAAUGACAAUUUGAUUCAAGGUUUGAACAUCUUCCAACAAUUGUCUGCUUCAGUUUGAUGAUCAACAGAUAUAUAGAAACUGAGGACUAUCCCUCUUUUCAUGCGAACAUCAUCUGAAGAGGAGGAGGUUGCACAGAAGAAAAGCACUCCAUUAAGAGAAAAUUUAAGGGCAGCUAAUUAAAGAAACAGAAAGCAUACGUUCCUAUAUAUCUGAAUUCACUCCACACCAGUGCCUACCCUAACCAAGGAUUAUCUCAACAUAUAAGGGCCUUCUUCAGAAACCCUAAAAACAAGGAAAGACGAGAAAAGGCCACGAAGAAGCUGAAGAGCCACAUUAGAAACGGCAACAACUAAUGAACGAAUUAGUCGGAAAGGGAAGGGGAAAGAAAGAGCAAGAAAAUAAACCUUUGGAUGAGGGGGUGAGAAGAGACUACUGUACAUGCGAUCCCCAUUGAUCACAUGCAUUGCUGAAGCUUGAAUAAGCUUGAAGAACGAACAUGGUCAUGCAAAAAUUAUUCUUUUCAGGUAAUAUCUGAUAAGUAAUUUUUCUCUGCCUGGCUUAAUCCUGUGUGCCACGUACAUGGGUGUGACCCUCUAUGUUAUGAUCCUUGGUGGAAGAAGGCACGGCCGACCAAGCGAUCUACUAAGGCGUUCUCCGCCUCUGCCGCAUGCGGCGACCGUUCUUGGAAGCAAGAUCCAUCACCAUGAUGGGUGUCAGCCAUUUUGUGUGCCGCGUGUGUGAGAGAGAGAGAGAGAGAGAGAAAGAGAGAGAGGGAGGUAUUAUUGUUCUAGCUUGCUCUCCAUAUAAGUAGAAAAGGGGAGGUACUUUGCUAUUUUCUU